UAUUAAAGGUGUAGCGCAGAAUGGAUCUCCACAAGAAAUUGAAAAUUCAAUAUCUGGACUUGUGGCAAUACUUCUGAAUAGCCUUGGUUUGGACUUCCUAGUGAAGAAUUUCCGUUCGAGCGGUCACUGGGGCGAGGGCAACCGCGUCUGCAAAGAUCCCAUCCACGUCAACAUAGGCGAUGUUGGUCUUCUUGGUAAGUGUGUGGAUGACUUAGCGGUGUUGUGCCAAGCGGGCACUGUGGCUGAAGACACAGUCUACGAAGAACUAUUCGAAACUCUUCGUUGUUUCUUGAAGGCGUUAUCGAAGAAAGACCUGGUCACCAUCACCGCAGGUGUUAUCUGCGACAUUGCCCAGCUUUUCAAACAAGCUGACAUUGGAAUAGACAUCCUGACGUUCGUCGUUCGCGCUCUCACGGGUGUGCUUGCUGGUGUCACGUGCUAAUGCCAGAACAAGCUGGUCUACGCUAACAGCACAGAGGAUAAAGGACCGUUUUCUUUGAAUGAAGGGCGUCAUGCGUAAAGAAGGGUUUCCUCACGG